UACGUAGGUGGCGAGCGUUGUCCGGAUUUACUGGGCGUAAAGGGAGCGUAGGCGGGCUUUUAAGUGAGAUGUGAAGUACCCGGGCUCAACUUGGGUGCUGCAUUUCAAACUGGAAGUCUAGAGUGCAGGAGAGGAGAAUGGAAUUCCUAGUGUAGCGGUGAAAUGCGUAGAGAUUAGGAAGAACACCAGUGGCGAAGGCGAUUCUCUGGACUGUAACUGACGCUGAGGCACGAAAGCGUGGGGAGCAAACAGGGAUUAGAUACCCU
rnacentral:rRNA from 1 species